rnacentral:rRNA from 1 species
CACGUAGGGGGCAAGCGUUGUCCGGAUUUAUUGGGCGUAAAGAGCUCGUAGGCGGCUCAGUAAGUCAGGUGUGAAACCUCCAGGCUCAACCUGGAGACGCCACCUGAUACUGCUGUGGCUAGAGUCCGGUAGGGGAGCGUGGAAUUCCUGGUGUAGCGGUGAAAUUCGUAGAUAUUCGCAAGAACACCAGUGGCGAAGGCAGCCAUCUGGACCGACACUGACGCUGAGGCGCGAAAGCGUGGGGAGCAAACAGG